rnacentral:rRNA from 1 species
UACGUAGGGUGCAAGCGUUAAUCGGAAUUACUGGGCGUAAAGCGUGCGCAGGCGGUUUGUAAGUUUGUCGUGAAAGCCCCGGGCUCAACCUGGGAAUUGCGAUGAAGACUGCAAGGCUUGAAUCUGGCAGAGGGGGGUAGAAUUCCACGUGUAGCAGUGAAAUGCGUAGAGAUGUGGAGGAACACCGAUGGCGAAGGCAGCCCCCUGGGUCAAGACUGACGCUCAUGCACGAAAGCGUGGGGAGCAAACAGG